rnacentral:rRNA from 1 species
CAAGUCGAGCGGUAGAGAGAAGCUUGCUUCUCUUGAGAGCGGCGGACGGGUGAGUAAUGCCUAGGAAUCUGCCUGGUAGUGGGGGAUAACGUUCGGAAACGGACGCUAAUACCGCAUACGUCCUACGGGAGAAAGCAGGGGACCUUCGGGCCUUGCGCUAUCAGAUGAGCCUAGGUCGGAUUAGCUAGUUGGUGGGGUAAUGGCUCACCAAGGCGACGAUCCGUAACUGGUCUGAGAGGAUGAUCAGUCACACUGGAACUGAGACACGGUCCAGACUCCUACGGGAGGCAGCAGUGGGGAAUAUUGGACAAUGGGCGAAAGCCUGAUCCAGCCAUGCCGCGUGUGUGAAGAAGGUCUUCGGAUUGUAAAGCACUUUAAGUUGGGAGGAAGGGUUGUAGAUUAAUACUCUGCAAUUUUGACGUUACCGACAGAAUAAGCACCGGCUAACUCUGUGCCAGCAGCCGCGGUAAUACAGAGGGUGCAAGCGUUAAUCGGAAUUACUGGGCGUAAAGCGCGCGUAGGUGGUUUGUUAAGUUGGAUGUGAAAUCCCCGGGCUCAACCUGGGAACUGCAUUCAAAACUGACUGACUAGAGUAUGGUAGAGGGUGGUGGAAUUUCCUGUGUAGCGGUGAAAUGCGUAGAUAUAGGAAGGAACACCAGUGGCGAAGGCGACCACCUGGACUAAUACUGACACUGAGGUGCGAAAGCGUGGGGAGCAAACAGGAUUAGAUACCCUGGUAGUCCACGC